rnacentral:rRNA from 1 species
AAGUUACUUAAGGCUUACGAUGGAUACCUUGGCAUUUAAAAGCGAUGAAGGGCGUGACUACCGACGAAACAUUUCGGUGAGCUGGAAGUAAGCUAUGACCCGGAAGUACCCGAAUGAGGUAACUCUUUAAUACUCUUUGCUGAAUCUAUAGGCGAAUGAGAGCUAACUUAGUGAACUGAAACAUCUUAGUAACUAAAGGAAAAGAAAGCAAAAGCGAUUCUCUUAGUAGCGGCGAGCGAAAUGGGAACAGCCUAAACCACUUUAAUAAGUUUUAGUGGGGUAGAGGGACAGCUAAGUACAGAAAUUAUUAGGUUAGGUGAAUCAAUUGGAAUAUUGUAUCAUAGAAGGUGAAAGUCCUGUAACUUAAAACUUAAUAUUUCUCAUGCUGUAUCCCAAGUAGCAUGGAGCACGUGAAAUUCCGUGUGAAUCCGCGAGGACCACCUCGUAAGGCUAAAUAUUACUGAAUGACCGAUAGUGAACUAGUACCGUGAGGGAAAGGUGAAAAGAACCCCGGGAGGGGAGUGAAAUAGAACAUGAAAUCGUAAGCCCACAAGCAGCAGGAGGAUGACUUAAUCGUUUGACUGUGUGCAUGUUGAAGAAUGAGCCGGCGACUUAUAGGCAGUGGCAGGUUAAAAUAGAGUAUAUUGGAGCCACAGUGAAAGCGAGCUUGAAUAAAGCGUUUAGUCACUGUUUAUAGACCCGAACCCGAAUGAUCUAACCAUGGCCAGGGUGAAGCUUAGGUAAUACUAAGUGGAGGUCCGAACCGACUGAUGUUGAAAAAUCAGCGGAUGAGCUGUGGUUAGGGGUGAAAUGCCAAUCGAAUUCGGAGCUAGCUGGUUCUCCCCGAAAUGCGUUUUGGCGCAGCGGUUGAUGCUAUAACUUAGGGGUAAAGCACUGCUUCGGUGCGGGCUACGAAAGUGGUACCAAAUCAAGGCAAACUCUGAAUACUAAGUGUGUAGUCAACCAGUGAGACAGUGGGGGAUAAGCUUCAUUGUCAAAAGGGAAACAGCCCAGACCACCGUCUAAGGCCCCUAAGUAAUUGCUAAGUGAUAAAGGAAGUAAGAACGCCUAUACAACCAGGAGGUUUGCUUAGAAGCAGCAAUCCUUUAAAGAGUGCGUAAUAGCUCACUGGUCUAGUGAUCUUGCGCCGAAAAUGAAUGGGACUAAGUAAUUUGCCGAAGACGUGGGAUGUUUUACAUCGGUAGGGGAGCGUUCUGUUUUAGUUUGAAGCACUAACGAAAGUGGGUGUGGACGAAUCAGAAGUGAGAAUGUCGGCUUGAGUAGCGAAAACAUUGGUGAGAAUCCAAUGCCCCGAAAACCUAAGGUUUCCUUCGGAAGGUUCGUCCGCGAAGGGUUAGUCAGGACCUAAGGCGAGGCUGAAAAGCGUAGUCGAUGGAUAACUAGUUAAUAUUCUCGUACUAUUUAUUACUGAUAUUAAGGGACGAAAAAGGCUAGAUCAUCCGGAUGUUGGUUACCGGUUUAAGCUACUAAGACUAAGAUAAAUGGCGAAAACAUUUUAAGUUAAAGAGCAAGUACAAGAUACUACGGUAUUGAAGUGAUUAAUGUCAUAUUUCCAAGAAAAUCUUAUCAUAUCUUAAGUAAUAAAUACCUGUACCUUAAACCGACACAGGUAGGUAAGUAGAGUAUACUAAGGGGCGCGAGAUAACUCUCUCUAAGGAACUCGGCAAAAUAGCCCCGUAACUUCGGAAGAAGGGGUACCCUUUUGGGGUUGCAAUAAAUAGGCCCAAGCGACUGUUUAUCAAAAACACAGGUCUCCGCGAAGUCGUAAGACAAUGUAUGGGGGCUGACGCCUGCCCAGUGCCGGAAGGUUAAAGAAGUUGGUUAAUAUAAAUAUGAAGCUAACAACUGAAGCCCCGGUGAACGGCGGCCGUAACUAUAACGGUCCUAAGGUAGCGAAAUUCCUUGUCGGGUAAGUUCCGACCCGCACGAAAGGCGUAACGAUUUGGGCACUGUCUCGGAGAGAGACUCGGCGAAAUAGAAUUGUCUGUGAAGAUGCGGACUACCUGCACCUGGACAGAAAGACCCUAUGAAGCUUUACUGUAACUUGAAAUUGAGUUCGGGUUUAUUUUGCGCAGUAUAGGUGGGAAGCUAAGAAGGUAUGCUUGCGGGUGUACAUGAGCUAUCAGUGAGAUACCACUCUAAUUAAGCUAGAAUCCUAAUCUUGAAGCCGUUAUCCGGCCAAGAGACAUUUUCAGGUGGGCAGUUUGACUGGGGCGGUCGCCUCCUAAAAGGUAACGGAGGCGUGCAAAGGUUCUCUCAGGCUGGUCGGAAAUCAGUCGUAGAGUGUAAAGGCAUAAGAGAGCUUGACUGCGAGACUUACAAGUCGAGCAGAGACGAAAGUCGGCCUUAGUGAUCCGACAGUUCUGAGUGGAAAGGCUGUCGCUCAACGGAUAAAAGUUACUCUAGGGAUAACAGGCUGAUCUCCCCCAAGAGUUCACAUCGACGGGGAGGUUUGGCACCUCGAUGUCGGCUCAUCGCAUCCUGGGGCGGUAGCACGUCCCAAGGGUUGGGCUGUUCGCCCAUGAAAGCGGUACGCGAGCUGGGUUCAGAACGUCGUGAGACAGUUCGGUCCAUAUCCGGUGCAGGCGUUAGAGUAUUGAAAGGAUUUCUCCUCAGUACGAGAGGACCGGGAGAAACAUACCUCUGGUGUACCAGUUAUUGUGCCAACAGUAUACGCUGGGUAGCUAAGUAUGGAUUGGAUAACCGCUGAAAGCAUCUAAGUGGGAAGCCUACCUUAAGAUGAGUACUCUUUUUAAGAUCACGGUAAGAUCAACCGUUUGAUAGGCGCUAAGUGUAAGCAUAGUAAUAUGUUCAGCUGAAACGUACUAAUAGAUCAAAAGCUUGAUAAUU